UAUUGUCAGGACUCAGCAGUUAGUGCCGUGCAGUUUUCUGCCUCUGGUCUCUCUACAGGUGACUGCAGUUGACAGGUGGGCGGGGUACACACCUGAGGCUCAUUCAGCGGUGUGUGGCUGCAUUAUAAGAACAGCUCUCUGACAGCUGGAGGAUGCCAGAGUGUUAACCUUGUGUGGUAUCUUCACGCCCUGAAUCUCACUCACUGCUCUGAUAAGAAGGGAUAAUAAAUAGAAUUUAAAAGCAGAGUCUGCCGUGGAUCCUCUGAGGGAGCCUCCUGC